CUUUGGGGUACUCGAGUGGCGAACGGGUGAGUAACACGUGGGUGAUCUGCCCUGCACUUCGGGAUAAGCCUGGGAAACUGGGUCUAAUACCGGAAAGGACCAUGGCAUGCAUGUGCUGUGGUGGAAAGCUUUUGCGGUGUGGGAUGGGCCCGCGGCCUAUCAGCUUGUUGGUGAGGUUACGGCUCACCAAGGCGACGACGGGUAGCCGGCCUGAGAGGGUGACCGGCCACACUGGGACUGAGAUACGGCCCAGACUCCUACGGGAGGCAGCAGUGGGGAAUAUUGCACAAUGGGCGCAAGCCUGAUGCAGCGACGCCGCGUGGGGGAUGACGGCCUUCGGGUUGUAAACCUCUUUCAGCACAGACGAAGCGCAAGUGACGGUAUGUGCAGAAGAAGCACCGGCCAACUACGUGCCAGCAGCCGCGGUAAUACGUAGGGUGCGAGCGUUGUCCGGAAUUACUGGGCGUAAAGAGCUCGUAGGUGGUUUGUCGCGUUGUUCGUGAAAACUCACAGCUUAACUGUGGGCGUGCGGGCGAUACGGGCAGACUUGAGUACUGCAGGGGAGACUGGAAUUCCUGGUGUAGCGGUGGAAUGCGCAGAUAUCAGGAGGAACACCGGUGGCGAAGGCGGGUCUCUGGGCAGUAACUGACGCUGAGGAGCGAAAAGCGUGGGGAGCGAACAGGAAUUAGAUACCCC
rnacentral:rRNA from 1 species